rnacentral:rRNA from 1 species
CAGCAGCCGCCGCGGUAAUACAUAGGGUGCGAGCGUUAAUCGGAUUUACUGGGCGUAAAGCGUGCGUAGGCGGCUAAUUGAGUCGGAUGUGAAAUCCCCGAGCUUAACUUGGGAAUUGCAUUCGAUACUGGUUAGCUAGAGUGUGGGAGAGGAUGGUAGAAUUCCAGGUGUAGCGGUGAAAUGCGUAGAGAUCUGGAGGAAUACCGAUGGCGAAGGCAGCCAUCUGGCCUAACACUGACGCUGAGGUACGAAAGCAUGGGGAGCAAACAGGAUUAGAUACCCCAGUAGUCCCUGUCUCUUAUAC